rnacentral:rRNA from 1 species
CGAACGGGUGAGUAACACGUGAGUAACCUGCCCUUGACUCUGGGAUAACCUCCGGAAACGGAAGCUAAUACCGGAUAUGACGCACGGAGGCAUCUCCUGUGCGUGGAAAGAACUUCGGUCAAGGAUGGACUCGCGGCCUAUCAGGUAGUUGGUGAGGUAACGGCUCACCAAGCCUACGACGGGUAGCCGGCCUGAGAGGGUGACCGGCCACACUGGGACUGAGACACGGCCCAGACUCCUACGGGAGGCAGCAGUGGGGAAUAUUGCACAAUGGGCGCAAGCCUGAUGCAGCAACGCCGCGUGAGGGACGACGGCCUUCGGGUUGUAAACCUCUUUUAGUAGGGAAGAAGCGAAAGUGACGGUACCUGCAGAAAAAGCACCGGCUAACUACGUGCCAGCAGCCGCGGUAAUACGUAGGGUGCGAGCGUUGUCCGGAAUUAUUGGGCGUAAAGAGCUCGUAGGCGGUCUGUCGCGUCUGCUGUGAAAACCCGAGGCUCAACCUCGGGCCUGCAGUGGGUACGGGCAGACUAGAGUGCGGUAGGGGAGAAUGGAAUUCCUGGUGUAGCGGUGGAAUGCGCAGAUAUCAGGAGGAACACCGAUGGCGAAGGCAGUUCUCUGGGCCGUAACUGACGCUGAG